GAAGAAUGUCAUGACAAAAUGUUUUCAAAUAAAUCUUCUUCGCAAUUCUGCAAACCACACGCAGAUUGCCAAUCCUUGGGACUUCAGGAAAUUACAGCUGGAACAAACACAUCAGACAGUGUAUGUGGAACAAGAAAUUAUCGUGUUGCUGUGCUUGUGCCUGUGGCGCCUGUAGUAGUACUAUCAACUGUCAUAGGAAUUUUCAUUUCAAGAAAGAGAAAGAAGAGAAAACAAAAUGGAGGGAUAGAACAGCCACAGGAUGAAGAUAAGAGAACGCAGAACAUGGAAACAGAAAAUGAAAACAUGUCAAACCUGCUGCAGGAUGAAGACUGCUUGAUGAUGGCUUGAUGAGGGAAACGAUGAAGCUGAUAUUAGAUGUCACAUGACUGCCCCUACUACAGUCUGUAUGGACGUGUUAUAACGGGUUAAAGCCCUUUUGAUUCUGUUUAUGAACAUAUUUUCAUUGUCAAUUUUCAGUCACUUGAUGCCGCCUUACUAGCUGGAGGAGAAGCAAUUGACACAAAUGCUAGUCAAUGGAAUCAUUAUAUAUUAGACCUGCAUGACCUGAAAGAGACAAUCUUGUAGCAGUCAGAGAUUUAAAAAAACGUGUAGGAUAAAUAAAUAUACAAUCCUGGCCUUGUGGUGCUGGGUAUGAGUGAAAAGUCAUAAAAUCAGACCUCUUCACAUCCUACCAACUUGGUGUUGAGCUCCAAAAGAGGAAGCUGACAAUGCUCAGAACAGUGAUAAAUCAGCCAGAACUCCCCAAACAGCUUCUGAAUACACAAGUCAGAGCUGUGAAUUCCUCCAAAUCUGCAUUCUCUGAAAGUACCACUAUCCUGGUCCUUGUUUUGAGCACAAUAAAUAAAGAUGCAUCUCUGAGCACAAGACUGGAUAAAAAGGUGCAAAUCAUCUUGAACUACAGCUAAGAAAAGGAGAGGUUGACAUCCAUGAUAAGGCACCCAAAUUAACUUCAUUUAAGUGCUUGUGACUGCUACACAGAACCGAU